rnacentral:lncRNA from 1 species
GCGGCGGCGGCGGCGGUGGCAGCGGCGCUUGUGGUGGUGGCUGCGGUAGCUGAGUGAACUGAGGCAUUGGCAGGCUCAUCUUUGGCGAUCUUGGCCCUGGCUUCGGCUCAUGGCACCGAGAAGCAUCCAUCGUAAGAAUCACUUGAUGGCUGCCAGAAAAGCAUUUGACAAAUUUUUCAUACAUUACCCGUAUUGCUAUGGUUACUGGAAAAAGUAUGCAGACCUUGAAAAGCGACAUGACAACAUUAAACAAUCAGAUGAGGUGCGUUAAACUUCUACAGUUUGUCAAGCUUUGCAGUGCAAGCCUCUGUAUUACACUGCAGCUUAACAAGUAGGGCAGGGCUUUUCUCUCACUUACAUUUAUUUCUCAUUUUCCAAACAAUAUAGUUGGUUUGCUAGUCACAUUUGCUACGUCUUAUUGCAUUUUUGGUCAGACGCUGUCAUUGAUGCUCUAAUGGGUCUGUGCCCUAUGGUCUGUAACCCAAAGCCUGCCCACACAACCCGGUCAGAAUGCAGGGACUGCUGCGCUUUGAAGAUCAAGACUCUGCACGUGGGGAUCAGAACAUUGCCAUGUUCUAUCCAACCUCCACCCAAAUGGUAAUGGUAGAUUAUUUAAACAAAAUUCCAGUAAUUAGUAUUUCUAAGGUUCACCGGAUAACACAGUGUUGCCUCUCUUUUAAUAAAUAAUUAAAAAUUUG